rnacentral:rRNA from 1 species
AGAGUUUGAUCCUGGCUCAGGAUGAACGCUAGCGGGAGGCUUAACACAUGCAAGUCGAGGGGUAAUCCCGAUUUAUCGGGAACGACCGGCGCACGGGUGAGUAACGCGUAUCAACCUACCUUUUACAGAGGAAUAGCCCAGAGAAAUUUGGAUUAAUACCUCAUAGCACUGUCAAUUCGCAUGAUUUGACAGUUAAAGUUUCGGCGGUAAAAGAUGGGCAUGCGUGACAUUAGAUAGUUGGCGGGGUAACGGCCCACCAAGUCAGCGAUGUCUAGGGGUUCUGAGAGGAUGAUCCCCCACACUGGUACUGAGACACGGACCAGACUCCUACGGGAGGCAGCAGUGAGGAAUAUUGGUCAAUGGACGCAAGUCUGAACCAGCCAUCCCGCGUGAAGGAUGACGGUCCUAUGGAUUGUAAACUUCUUUUAUGUACCAAGAAUGUGCCCUACGUGUAGGGUUUUGACGGUAGUACAUGAAUAAGCAUCGGCUAACUCCGUGCCAGCAGCCGCGGUAAUACGGAGGAUGCGAGCGUUAUCCGGAUUCAUUGGGUUUAAAGGGUGCGUAGGCGGCUUAUUAAGUCAGUGGUGAAAUCCUGCGGCUCAACCGUAGAACUGCCAUUGAAACUGAUAAGCUUGAAUAUAGUUGAGGUAGGCGGAAUGAGUAGUGUAGCGGUGAAAUGCUUAGAGAUUACUCAGAACACCGAUUGCGAAGGCAGCUUACUAAACUAAUAUUGACGCUGAGGCACGAAAGCGUGGGGAGCGAACAGGAUUAGAUACCCUGGUAGUCCACGCCGUAAACGAUGUUCACUCGCUGCUUGCGAUACAUAGUAAGUGGCCAAGCGAAAGCAUUAAGUGAACCACCUGGGGAGUACGUCGGCAACGGUGAAACUCAAAGGAAUUGACGGGGGCCCGCACAAGCGGAGGAACAUGUGGUUUAAUUCGAUGAUACGCGAGGAACCUUACCUGGGCUUAAAUGUAGAUUGCAUGUGGUGGAAACACCCUUCUCUUCGGAGCUAUCUACAAGGUGCUGCAUGGUUGUCGUCAGCUCGUGCCGUGAGGUGUCGGGUUAAGUCCCAUAACGAGCGCAACCCCUAUCGUUAGUUGCCAUCAGGUUAAGCUGGGGACUCUAACGAGACUGCCACCGUAAGGUGAGAGGAAGGUGGGGAUGACGUCAAAUCAGCACGGCCCUUAUGUCCAGGGCUACACACGUGUUACAAUGGCAGGUACAAAGGGCAGCUACACCGCGAGGUGAUGCUAAUCUCGAAAGCCUGUCUCAGUUCGGAUCGGAGUCUGCAACUCGACUCCGUGAAGUUGGAUUCGCUAGUAAUCGCGUAUCAGCAAUGACGCGGUGAAUACGUUCCCGGGCCUUGUACACACCGCCCGUCAAACCAUGGAAGCUGGGGGGACCUGAAGUCUGUCACCGUAAGGAGCGGCCUAGGGUAAAACCGGUAACUGGGGUUAAGUCGUAGCAAGGUA